rnacentral:rRNA from 1 species
GUCCACGCAGUAAACGAUGAGUGCUAGUUGUCGGGGCUUUGGGCUUCGGUGGCGAAGUUAACACGAUAAGCACUCCGCCUGGGGACUACGGUCGCAAGACUAAAACUCAAAGGAAUUGACGGGACCCGCACAAGCAGUGGAGCAUGUGGUUUAAUUCGAUGCUACGCGAAAACCUUACCAACCCUUGACAUCUGGAUGACUGGUGCAGAGAUGCGCCUUCGGAGCAAUCCGCAUCCAAGACAGGUGUUGCAUGGCUGUCGU